GCUCGUCCGCUACGGGCCCAGGCCGCGGGACCUCCCGCCCCCGCCCGCCGCCCCGCGGGGCUCCCGUGGCUCUGCGCCUGCUUUCUGGAAUUGGGAGUCGGGCUGAAGCUGCUGCUGCUUGUCAACAGUGCGACCUUGGGGCAAGUUCCUGACUCGGGGAGUCUCUCUGGCUCUCACCUGUGAAAGGCGCCAUAGCAGUGCCUGCAAGAGACGGGAAUACUGGGGACACAUGGAGGGCGUGAAAGGACCUGCUUGGAGUCCACUCCCGCCUUACAGAUGGGCUGAGGAGACAGAGAUAAGCGCCGGGCUCAGAACCACCCCACAGGACCGAGAGGGAUUGCUUAGAUCUCGGCAAACAUGUGCCAAGAAUUUUAAAAGGAGCAUCACUGCCAAACUGUCUUCACCAGCCGGCUCCAAUGCCCUGCCACUCCUGCCCCCCGCCUUCUCUUCAUUCACACUCGGCAGAAUUUCCCAGCUGUGGGUCCGGAGCUGCUGACCUCGUGAAGCAGGGGUUUCCUUCCCAAGCUCUGCAGAGGUGGGCUCCCGGGGCCUGUGAUGAGGCGCUCCGAGCCUGUUUUGCUUCAUCCACGACUGAAUGCUCCCCGCAACGUAUAAAGUAGACACGCUUCUUACUCACGC